CUGGCUCAGGACGAACGCUGGCGGCGUGCCUAACACAUGCAAGUCGAACGGAACUAUUUUGACAGAUUUCUUCGGAAUGAUGGUAUUUUAGUUUAGUGGCGGACGGGUGAGUAACGCGUGAGUAACCUGCCUCUAAGAGGGGAAUAACGUUCUGAAAAGAUCGCUAAUACCGCAUAACAUAUUGAAGCCGCAUGACUUUGAUAUCAAAGAUUUAUCGCUUAGAGAUGGACUCGCGUCCGAUUAGCUAGUUGGCGGGGUAACGGCCCACCAAGGCGACGAUCGGUAGCCGGACUGAGAGGUUGAACGGCCACAUUGGGACUGAGACACGGCCCAGACUCCUACGGGAGGCAGCAGUGGGGAUAUUGCGCAAUGGGGCAACCCUGACGCAGCAACGCCGCGUGAAGGAUGAAGGUUUCGGAUUGUAAACUUCUUUGUUAGGGACGAAAUGACGGUACCUAACGAAUAAGCUCCGGCUAACUACGUGCC
rnacentral:rRNA from 1 species